rfam:Trichobilharzia regenti genome assembly, scaffold: TRE_scaffold0003703
AUCCAGUUGACGAGUCUCAAAUAGGAUGAAGUGCGCAUCCUGACUGGAU